GUUGUCAGCCAUACCUAGGCGAAAACACCGGUUCCCGUCUGCAGCUAAGCGUCUGAUGGCUUUGUUAGUACCAUCGUAGGAGACAAUAUGGGAAUCCCGGGUGCUGUAGGCU
rnacentral:rRNA from 1 species